rnacentral:rRNA from 1 species
CCUACGGGCGGCUGCAGUGGGGAAUAUUGGACAAUGGGCGAAAGCCUGAUCCAGCCAUGCCGCGUGUGUGAAGAAGGCCUUCGGGUUGUAAAGCACUUUCAGUGGGGAAGAAAGCCUUGGGGCUAAUACCCGCUAGGAAGGACAUCACCCACAGAAGAAGCACCGGCUAACUCCGUGCCAGCAGCCGCGGUAAUACGGAGGGUGCGAGCGUUAAUCGGAAUUACUGGGCGUAAAGCGCGCGUAGGCGGUCUGAUAAGCCGGUUGUGAAAGCCCCGGGCUCAACCUGGGAACGGCAUCCGGAACUGGCAGGCUAGAGUGCAGGAGAGGAAGGUAGAAUUCCCGGUGUAGCGGUGAAAUGCGUAGAGAUCGGGAGGAAUACCAGUGGCGAAGGCAGCCUUCUGGACUGACACUGACGCUGAGGUGCGAAAGCGUGGGUAGCAAACAGGAUUAGAUACCCUAGUAGUC